UCCGGUUUGGCACCGGCAGUCUCUCUAGAGUGCCCGGCAUGACCCGCUGGUAACUAGAGACGGGGGUUGCGCUCGUUGCGGGACUUAACCCAACAUCUCACGACACGAGCUGACGACAGCCAUGCAGCACCUGUGCACGGACUCCGAAGAGGGCCCGCCGUUUCUGGCGGGUUUCCCGUGCAUGUCAAGCCCAGGUAAGGUUCUUCGCGUUGCGUCGAAUUAAACCACAUGCUCCACUGCUUGUGCGGGUCCCCGUCAAUUCCUUUGAGUUUUAGCCUUGCGGCCGUACUCCCCAGGCGGGGUGCUUAAUGCGUUAGCUGCGGCACCGCAGGGGUCAAAGCCCGCGACACCUAGCACCCAUCGUUUACGGCGUGGACUAC
rnacentral:misc_RNA from 1 species